ensembl:lncRNA LINC01304 long intergenic non-protein coding RNA 1304
CUCAGCUCACUGCAAGCUCCGCCUCCCGGGUUCAUGCCACCCUCCUGCCUCAGCCUCCCAAGUAGCUGGGACUACAGGCACCCACCACUACACCUGGAUAAUUUUUUGUAUUUUUAGUAGAGACAGGGUUUCACCGUGUUAGCCAGGAUGGUCUCCAUCUCCUGACCUCGUGAUCCGCCCGCCUCGGCCUCCCAAGGAACCAGACAGUCUUUGGAAAUGGUCUUUGCAGUGAGACCUAGAUCAUCGUCUUACAGGCACCAGACAAAAGUGGCAAGAACUCUAGUGGGUGAGUUGGCAGGCCAAGACACAAGCCCCAGGUUUAACAUCAACAGACUGAAAGGUGCUUGGCAAACUACUUCGUCUCAUUGCUAAUAUUAAAUGGGGCUGGACAAUCUCUGAGGUUUUUAAGGCUUCUAGAUUUUUAGAAACUUCUACUUUUACAUCCAGAGACCUUCACAUAAUUAAAAAUCAAUAUCCUCCCUUAGAGGAGGAACAAGUGAGGUACCAGCAUCAUUAUUGGCAAACAUUAUUUCACACCUCUAGUGCAGCUUGAUAAACACACGGAGUGUGUGAGAGAUAAAUGCUGCUCACUAAUGCAUCCAGUUCUCCCCCUUGGGAAAUGUAGACUUGUAUUUCCUGCCUCUCUGAAGUUAGACGUAGCCACCUGACUUGCUUUCACCAAUGAAAUAUGAGCAGAAGUAGCUUGUAUUUCUUCUAGACAGAUGCCUUUCAGAAUGAAUGCACGAUGCACAAUUUCCUCUUCCUCUUGCCUGGUGACAGGGGAUGUCCCAGAGCUCCUGCCCACCAUAAAGCGACACACAAAUGAACAAGAGAUACACCCCGAGAGCUGGGGCUUGCUUGUUACUGCAGCGUAUGCAGGCUGUCCUGACUGAUACACUGAGCACCUUGCAAGUGCCAGGCACAUUUCCAGGCUCAGGAGAUGCCACUGGUGAGGGCAGCUGCUGUUGACGAGCACCCCCUUGUCAGGCAACACCUGAGUUCUUUCAGGAAGACAGUUGAAAAGUUACAGGAGAUUGGAAGAGACAUCCUGAGAUAGUCCACAGUGGAGCUCUGUGGUCAGGACAUGCCAGCACCCUGUCAAUGUCACAGUGCAAAGCCAACUGACUCCAUCAUAAGGGACUGUCAGUGUGUGUGAAUGCCACCUACACCAGCCAGUCCUGUCUGCCAUAAGGACUAUAGUGACACAAAGGAGGCAGGAAGGGAGGGCCCCUGUGUGAUUAGCUCUUACACGCAGUCCCUUAGGCAUUUGUCUGAGUGGAUCAUCUGCUGUAGACAGAACAGAUUGGGUCCUUAGUGCACAUUCAGGGCAAAUGGAACUGACUACCUGUAUGCAGCAUUCAUGCUUUUAGCAAAGCUUUCUCACUGCAUAGCUAUUUGGCUUGUUAAGCCUGCAAUUCUGGGUCUGGGCCAAGACAUGGGGAACAGUGAUGCUAAUGAGAACACCAAAGAAACACAGCAGUAAGCGGCGAGCCACAGCCGCCUAUUACCUUCACACCUGCCACAUUCCCUUCAGUGUAAAUUGACUCGCUGUCCCAUCCAUCCUUAUCAUCUCUCUGGGGUUCAGGUCUCCAGAAAUGUCCCGGCCUCUACUCACAUAUCUAUACAACAUGCCAUUGAUAAGGCAGUCGUUAAACAACUAGCAUUUUGCAUUCUGAAGUGAAAAUUAAAAAUGCACAGUCCUUUUUAAUUCAAUUUCUAAUUAGUGCACUAUAUACAACCCAGAAUGAUGGCAAAUUGAUAAAAUAUGCAAAUGAAGCAACAAUUCAUAGACUAUAUUAAAAUUUCCAUUUAAACUGUUAGUUAAGCUAUACACAUUUGUAAAUGUAAACAUUAACCCUCAGGAAAAAUAUUUUCUAAACUACAGCAUAAUUGGAAACUCCAGAAUCAUAUACAACAGAAAAGAGAUCAUUACACAGACGUGUACCUUUAUCGCCAUAAAUAAAAGAACAUUUCCACAGAGUUGUUGCUUCCUCUCGGCUGCUCCCACAGCACUUUCCCUGGCUCUCCGUGGAGCCAUUGUUUAUAGCCUCCUCCAGGGUAGGCAGUGGGGUACGCAUCUGCCUCCUGAGCCAGCAAGCCAUGCCCUCAAGGGCAGCACGAAGCCUGGCCCAUCCGUACUCCCCGUAUUGCCCAGAGCACAGGAGGUGCUUGCAGCCCUCCGCUGAACUGGUUGAAAUUGAACAAUAUGGAGUUGAACUGAAUUGGAUCAAAUUUAAUGAAAUUAAAUGGCACGUGAUGUCUGUAGGUUUCCAUUUUAGAAGCUAUGCAAUGAAGUCCAAAUUCCCUCCUCUUCUACCAGAUGAAAUGCCUCAGGCCAACAUGCAAGCAAGCCUGGGAUCAGGAGAUGCUCAGGAUGGAACAAUCCACAAACUGAACCAGGCUGCCUGUCCACAGGUGCACUAACCACCUUCCCACCCAGGAAGGUGUUGGAACCCCACUCUCAAUGGAGAAAAGCUGAUACUCAAGUCUAGUUUUAUAUGGCUCCAAACGCCUCCACCAUGAGCUCAAGGCAGUGAGACUGACUGAAAAACCCUCUCUAUUACAGACCACAACAUUGAACCCAACAUCCCCCUAAGUAGGUUGUACUCACAUCAUUGGUCUUAUGGGGAAAUUUUAAGACCUCCCACUUGUAAGGUUUUAUAGCCCUCUAUGGAAUAUUGAAGAAAGAGUAAAAUGCAUCCAAAAAAAAAAAAAAACACUAAACUGGAUAAAUUCUAAGGCCUCUUCAGGUCUUAAGAUGGCCAUUUUCUAGGUCCUCUUGCUGCAGCAGUGAAAUCCACAAACACGGACAAGUCAGUCAGUUACGUGCCUUUCAGAGAAAACUUCUGACUUAGGAAUUCCAGCUAUUUGGCCCAACCCAUAUUAGAUUGUGUUAUAAAGACAUGGUAAAUUACAUCACGAAGGGAAGAGCAGAGGAAACAUAAUAUUCCUUCAAGACCCAUCAGCUCAGAUGUUAGCAGAACACCCCUAAGGAGGAAAACAAGAAAUUUUGGGUUUGAACUUGGUACUUCCCAGCAGCCCUGGGAGUGGGGUCAGAAGCCCUGCUGGGGGCCAAAGAACUCUGAGGAUCAAAGAUGUUGAGCAUCACCUUAGAGGCCAAAGAUCAGAACAGUGGAGGUGGCCUUUGAAGCCCAACCUGUCUUUCACCAGAGAGUGAGAACGGCCUCUAUUUCCAGGAAGCUCACUGCAGCAAUAAUCAUGAUGCUCUGAGCCUGACAAGCAAAAGAAAACUUCUUUAGGAGGAUAAAAGGGAGAUGAAGAAACAGAAAACACAUCAGCUCUCCAUCCAGAUUACAGAAAGCAGAAAACAUCCUGAAGUGAAUAACAUAGGAAUCGCUCUUUUUCCCCCCUGAGAUAGCAGGUUACUUAUGAGAAACAAGCUUGAAAUCUCUGCACCUGGACCAGCUUCCAGAGGCUUUUGUCCUGACCAGAUAUUUACUGAAUAACUAGAAGAUGCUAGAUGUUAUUCUAUUCAUUUUAUACCACUCUUCAAAUUACGGAUGUUUCCCCACCGAAACCGACCCUCACAAAAGAAAAACUAUCUGGGGCCUUGGAUCCUCUUUCAAAGGCUCAAGCUGGCUUUGGGGAAGUAAAGGAAACCAGAGAAGAAGAGGCUGAAAGAAUUGGUUUCCACCGUGACCUUUGAACCCUCGGGCGAGUUGUCAGCCUCACUGAGGAUGAGUGUACUCCAUAUCAAGUGAGGUCACUUUACUCGCAAGCUUGUUGUGAGGACUGAAUGAAACCUUUUCUUUUUUCUUGGAGUUUCAGAGCAACGUCCCUGAGCCCAGCCCCACACUGGCUUGAGCCCUGUCGUCGGUCAAGACACGGUGCUUUCUCCCCUCCCCUCUGCACUCCAGCUUACUCUGCAGUCAGGAGGUGGCACCACGAUCCCCUUUAAGACUUUGCCACUUGGGCCAGCUGCGCCCCUGUGAAAUUCCCUGUUUCUAUUGCAGGCCACAAGGACGAGCUGAGAAAUGGCUUCCAGUCACCAUCUAGAUUAGAAAGCCUAUAUUUCAAAUAUAGAUAUAUCAAUUAUGCCUGUAAAAAGACAUUAAAUCCCACAGGGCUGUAAUUCCUAGACUCUACGAAUUUCAUCUUGCACCAAAUUUUAUUAUUUCAUUUAUAAUUCGGAUUCUUCAAAUCUAAGAGUGCCUGGCUCAAAAUUAAAAUACCUACAACUAUGCCAAAACUGGACUCUUUAAUUGCCUUACUGGAACCAGUAGCUGAUUCAAAGCAAAACGAAACAAAAUUCCUCCUUUCUCUGAUUUAGUGAAUCAAUGAUCUAACUGAACUCAUUUUUGGACUGAGUUUGCGGCACUUGCAGCCCUGAGGGACACAUUCCCCCACCACACUGAGCCUGCACUCCCAUCAAUGCAAAUGAACAUUUUGCUUAUUCAGAUUGGGGGGGUGAAGGAAGUCACAAAAGGGUUAAUACAUAUGGCAUUUCAUUGUAAUAUGUACUCACUACUAACUAAAUUAAAAGAGAUGUGAGUUAUUAAAAACUCCAUCUUAAGAAAGUAACAGAAA